UACGUAGGGUGCAAGCGUUGUCCGGAAUUAUUGGGCGUAAAGAGCUCGUAGGCGGUCUGUCGCGUCUGCUGUGAAAACUCAGGGCUUAACCCUGAGCUUGCAGUGGGUACGGGCAGACUAGAGUGCAGUAGGGGAGACUGGAAUUCCUGGUGUAGCGGUGAAAUGCGCAGAUAUCAGGAGGAACACCGGUGGCGAAGGCGGGUCUCUGGGCAAUUCCUGACGCUGAGACGCGAAAGCGUGGGGAGCAAACAGG
rnacentral:rRNA from 1 species